rnacentral:rRNA from 1 species
ACACCGCCCGUCACACCAUGAGAGUUGGAAAUACCCGAAGCCUGUGAGCUAACUUAAAGAGGCAGCAGUCGAAGGUAGAGCCAAUGAUUGGGGUGAAGUCGUAACAAGGUAUC